rnacentral:lncRNA from 1 species
AAUGCUUUUUCACUCUCUGCUGAUAUGACUGACCAUGACACAUGGCAGUUGAUCUCUUCUUUUCGAUCGAAUUCAGCAUCGGCCAACUUGGGACUUUGAGGGUGCUAUUUCUCUUUUGUUUUUUUUUUUUUUUCUUUUGAUUUGCUUUUGAUUUCUUUUGAUUUUGAUUUUUUAUUUUGCACCCUCUCUUUUCUCUUUUUUUUUUACUUUUUUUUUUGUUGAUUUUUUUGAUGCCCCAGUUGGCUGUUCUGCUGAUUCUCGAGAUACAGCUGAGUGAUCUUCUUUUCUUGCCCAAGAAGUCGGGAAAUCUCGUCAGGAAUCCCUUCAACAUCAUCUUCGUCCGCUUCGAAUACAGGGAAUUCAAAAUUGGGAGAUGACGUCCGAUCACUAUGUUCAAUGGGUUUGAGAAAUAACCUGCAUAAUGAUUUUGAUAUGAAAAGCUUUUUGAAAAACAAAC